rnacentral:misc_RNA from 1 species
GAACGCAUCUUGCGCCCCGUGGCAUUCCGCGGGGCAUGUCUGUUUGAGUGUCGUUUGACCUCUCAACCGCUUUGGUAUUCGAUUACAAAAGUCGGCUUGGAACUUGGGUGCCUCUGGCGAAACGCAAAAGGUCUGUGCGGACCUGUCGCCCACCCCAAAGUCAGUUGGGCCAACCGCGCGGAUGAGCGGACGGUUUGACCACAGUGUUGUAAGGUUCGCCUCACUGUCGGGACGUCCAUUUCCGUUAGCAUGUAGGCAUUUGAAAUACGAUACUAUUGAUUUUGACCUCAAAUCAGACAGGAUUACCCGCUGAACUUAAG